AUGUGUGCGAGCAAACGUGAGGGAGGAAUGGGUUUUCAUGAUAUGGAGGCUUUUAAUCAAGCGUUAUUGGCAAAGCAAGCGUGGAGAAUUAUGCAAGUCCCCUCUUCCCUGUGUGCACCUGUUCUCAAGGCACGUUACUUUGAUCAUGGAACAAUCCUCAAUGCAACCUGUCCGAGUGGUGCUUCAUACACUUUUAGAAGUAUUUUGUUCGGCCGAGACUUACUGCUUGAAGGGCUCAGGUGGGGGACGGCUCGAGCAUCCGCAUCCAUCAUGAUAGCUGGAUCCCACGCAAGGGUAACCUUAGGCCACUGGGCCAAGUGUUUUUGCUGGGGAUAA
rnacentral:rRNA from 1 species